CAACUUCUCCGUGCGCCUUCACCGAUCAGCUUCGGUAGUCUACUCAGAAAAGCGCGGGCGCCAAAGCAAAGAGCCCGGUGAGUAUCACCACUGGCACCGCUUUCGUCAUCCUUGUCGACACCCUCGGAUGCAUACUUUUUUAUUUCCGCGACGUCGUUCACGGCAGCAUUGCAGCGCCUUUAGUGGGGCAGAAGACCUGCACACGUAGCGCUGAGAAGUAAUAAAAUAAAAAAACGAAAAGCCACCAGUGUCUUUCAAAAAGCAAGGAUGAAUAUUCGACAGCGCAAGUCGGAGCGGCACAAGGAGGUGCUGCGGAAGCUCAGCCAGAAUGGUGGCAACAAGAGCUGUUUUGAUUGCGGCAUGCGAGGUCCGCUGUACGUAGUCUCAGAUUUUGGCAUUCUUGUCUGCUCCGGCUGCAGCGCCGUGCACCGCUCCUUUCAGCACAAGGUGAAGGGGAUCACGAUGAGUGAGUUUACGGAUGACGAGAUCGCCCGUUUCUCCGUAGCCGGCAACGACCGGGCCCUCAAGGUAUGGUUGAGCACCUUUCACAACCAGCUCCCUCGCUCCGGUGACGUGAUGGCGCUGAAAGACCACGUGCGCGUGGUCUUCGAAGAACGGCGGUUUUUGAAUGCGCAGGAGCUCUCUGCUUUGCAAGACUCGUGGGAGCACGCAAGGGAACAGCCUUCACAGGCGCCACCACCUUUGUCCGUUACGAGGCCUGCAGAGUCCUCUCUCGCUUCAAUUCCAGAGGCACCCACGGCGCAACCCGGGCCCGUUUCGGCACCGACGAAUCCCGCGCGACCGCCGCAAGAGGACGUCUUCGAUAGCCUGUUCUCUGCAUCAGUGCAGUCUUCGUCGACACCGCAACCCACAGCGCAUGCAGCAGCACCACCACCACCAAUGACUACCUUGCACGCCCCUGCUCCUCCAGCGCCGCAGCAGCCCGCAACAGUAACCAGUAUCGUGGCUGACUUGUUUGCUGGAGUGCCGCCGCCAGUGGUGCAGCCAGCAGGUGGAUAUAGCGCUCCUCAUCCACAGCAACAACAGCAACAGCAGUCGAUGAGCUAUCCUACUGAUGGCGGCAUGUACAACUUCACUCAAGGCCCCCAGAGCAGCAUGAUGGCACCUACGCAGCUGCAGUCCUCACAGCUGCCGUACCAGCAGCAGCAGCAAGCGCAGCCGACUCCCUACGCUGCAAGUGGCCCGAUGGUGUGCGCGCCAUGUGUAGGAAGUCAGCACGCAUCGACGUUCGAUUUUGCCGCACCAUCCGCACCUGCGGCGAAUCCCUACCCGUACCAGCAGCAGCAACCGCAGCCGUUCACUUGGGGUCAACCCGCGCCGACACAGCUGCAACAGCAACAGCAGCAUAUGAUAGGGUUUCUCGGCUCUUCCGGGAGCGCGGCCCCGUACGCUGCGCCCGCCCAGCCACAGAGCUACAACUUCAAGAGCGGCGCACCAGGCGCCACCGCCUACCCCUCCGCGAACGGUGCACCGGCCCAGGCUUACCAGCUGUCGCCUUUUGCGAGCAAUCCACCGCCUCCGCAGGAAGACUGGGGUGCGUCCCUGUCGUCAAACGCGUCUUCCAUCCCCAACCACAAUCGCAUCGUCGUCUUGUCGGUGACGAAGCAGCAGAAUGACGGACCGCAGAACCCUCAGCCGCCGUGGCAGUGAUUCUCUACUCUAUUUGAGCGAAAGAGCCUCUGGCAUAGUGCGGGACUAUACCGGCGCUCGUGCAUUCGGGACUGCUCUUCCGGCGUCGGUUUGAUGACGCGGUUUUCCAGUUGCAUUCUGAGAGGAGGGAGGAGAGCGUGAGAAGGACGACUCGCCUCGCUCUCCUUGUCUCGCUUCUUAUUCUCUCACCGCUCUGCACAUGCAUGUCUCCGCGUCCACGAAUAGGCGCUGAGUCUUUAGAGCGUAAAAUCAUGAGCGGCGGCACACGGCAGAGGGGCGAGUCAACUUCAUGGAUAACCGCUCGCACGCAGGACGCGUGCGAGCUCUUCGUGCUUUUUGUUUGCCUUUGUCAUCCUCUGCUGGGGCGCAGACAGUAUGGGCGACUGUGCACGAGAGUUGGAUGAGUAGGCCUUCCUUGAUUUGCA
rnacentral:misc_RNA from 1 species